GGAGAGUUCGCGGCAGCUCGCGGGAUGCUCCUAGAUGCAAGAUGUGUCUCUGGCCAGCAGGAGGAAGGAAGAGGAAGUGAGAGCAGCGGCAACCGGCGGCAGCGGCCGGCGACCCGAGUGUAUAGACACGUGUGACCGUCCACGCAGUAGGAUCCCCGUUUCCACCGGCUUCGGACUUCCUUGGUUGCACAAUGCCGCCGCCUGCGGAUAUCGUGAAAGUGGCCAUAGAAUGGCCUGGAGCCUACCCUAAACUCAUGGAGAUUGACCAG